rnacentral:rRNA from 1 species
GACGAACGCUGGCGGCGUGCUUAACACAUGCAAGUCGAACGAAGUGGCGAACGGGUGAGUAACGCGUAAUCAACCUGCCCUUCAGAGGGGGACAACAGUUGGAAACGACUGCUCAUACCGCAUACUGAAGGAGGGGCUUGCGUCUGAUUAGCUAGUUGGAGGGGUAACGGCCCACUAAGGCGAUGAUCAGUAGGAUGUCGGAGAGGAUGAACGGCCACAUUGGGACUGAGACACGGCCCAGACUGCUACGGGAGGCAGCAGUGGGGAAUCUUCCGCAAUGGACGAAAGUCGGACGGAGCAACGCCGCGUGAGUGAUGACGGCAUUCGGGUUGUAAAGCACUGUCAAUCGGGACGCGGUACCGGAAUAGAAAGCCACGGCUAACUACGUGCCAGCAGCCGCGGUAAUUC